GGUAAUAGUCCUGUAUGUUAAACGAGAAGACUUUAGAUAUGAUCCAGAGUACCACGGGACACGUGAAACCCUGUGGGAAGCAGGAGGGACCACCCUCCAAGGCUAAAUACUACCUAGUGACCGAUAGCGUAUAGUACCGCGAGGGAAAGGUGAAAAGAACCACGGGAGGGGAGUGAACUAGAACCUGAAACCCUGCACUUACAAGCUGUGGAAGCACAUUUCUUGUGUGACCGCGUACUUUUUGUAGAACGGGCCAACGAGCUACCUUAAGUCGCAAGGUUAAGCACUUAAGGU
rnacentral:rRNA from 1 species